rnacentral:lncRNA from 1 species
UAUGAUCAUUCAAUUCAAGUAAAAGAUCUGAGUGGCCAUAAUACUACGUAUAUGGCAUGAAAGAAAGCAGAACAUGAGUUCAGGACCACUUGAAGAAGUUAAACUACCACACACACCGCUCUUCUUCCUUGCUAAAGUCAAGAAAACAUUGGAAAAAUCAAGACCAUGCAUUAUUCAACUUCAGAAAGUCUACUAUGGAGCUCUCGGCAGCUCCUCCUCGGAUACAAUACAGGGAGUUGCAAGAACCAGUUCGGCACACUCAGUGCAUUCUGCGCUUUUUCGAGAAUGUCCCUGCUCCUCCGGAGAACUGUGGGUGGAGAAUGGAAUUUGGUCUAGCCUUGACCAGAGGCGGGAAGCUGGUACUUGGCCUAAUCUUGACCUGAGGUGGUGGGUGUAAAGCUGGUGAAGACCCCUAGGGUCCUUCACAGGAACCCCAUAACCUACCUACUUUCUACCAGGCCAAGCCUCUUAAUAGCUCUUACACUUCUGUAAGAACUAGGAUCCCUUCAUUCGCCAAGCUUCAAUCUAGGUGCUGUGCUCUGGGGUUCUCUGGUGACUGACUCAUAUUUUUUUUUUAGGUCCUGUCCUCAGGGUCUCAUAUUGUUGGUGCAGGACCAACUAUAUACUGCACCUAUUUUCUCUUUUAUGAAGGCUAUAAACUUGUUCAAUAUGCAGAGUCCAAAGGUAACAAUAGGAGAACAAUUAGGGGUCUUAACAAGGUAGAUAUGAAGGUGGUUAGUCAAGGGGAUGAGUUAAACCAAGCUUCCAACCAGCCCUGAAUGUACUGACUGUUAGUCACCUGACCCUCUGGUCCCAGACAGAGUUCGAAUGCAUGUCAUAUGCUUGCUAGCCAAUAGAUUCAAAGGUCAAUAUGCUUAGCCAAUACGUUUAAACUGUAACCUUGUUGAUGUAACCUGUACCCCUAGAAAGUCUAAAAAGUGCUUGUUAUAACUAUUCGGGAUCACCUUCUAGUCACUCACCACAGGGGCUGAUUGAGGGUCAACCAUGAUGUACCGGAAAAAAUAAACCCCUAGUGUUUGCAUCAGAAAAAAAAAAAAAGAAAGAAAAAAAGAAUCAGUUCAGCAGUGUGAUAUCUAGGAUGCUGAAGUGUAAAAGAUGUUAGGAAAAUCCUUACCUUGUAAUACAUUCUAAUGGUUUUAAUCAUUCUGUGGUAAGAAUCAGGAGCAAAUAACGGAUGAUGAAGACACUGAGGAGGAGAAAGAAGAUAAAAAUAAGGGACAACCUAUUACAUUCAUUUUUUCCCCUCCCUGUUUAAUUUGUUUUGUUUUAUUUUUGUUUCUGUUGGUGCUGCUGCUGCUGCUGCUACUGUGCUGUUGUUGUUGUUGCUGUUGUUCUUGUUGUUGUUGUUUGAGACAGUGUUUUUCUGUGUAGCCCUGCCCAUCCUGGAACUCACUCUGUACACUAGAC